rnacentral:rRNA from 1 species
CUAGCUGUAGACGAUGGAUACUAGGCGUUGAGAGUAUCGACCCUCUCAGUGUCGUAGCUAACGCGUUAAGUAUCCCGCCUGGGGAGUACGCGCGCAAGCGUGAAACUCAAAGGAAUUGACGGGGGCCCGCACAAGCGGUGGAGUAUGUGGUUUAAUUCGAUGCAACGCGAAGAACCUUACCAGGGCUUGACAUGUCCGGAACCCUGCCCAAAGGCGGGGGUGCCUACGGGAACCGGAACACAGGUGGUGC